rnacentral:rRNA from 1 species
UAAACGGACCAUCGAGUAUCCAUUGGAGGGCAAGUCUGGUGCCAGCAGCUGCGGUAAUACCAGCUCCAAUAGCGUAUAUUAAAGUUGUUGCAGUUAAAAAGCUCGUAGUUGGACUUGUGUGCGCUGUCCGCGGGUGGCCUGCGCCCAAAAGGGCGUUUCAGUUCGGCCCCGGUGGCGCCUUGAAAUCUGCAGCUGGGGGGACGUUGGCCUUAACUGGUCGGCGACCGCACGCCGGCUGCUCGGUUACUGUGAGAAAAUUAGUGUGUUCAAGGCAGGCAUUGGGUGCAAUUGAAUACAUUAGCAUGGAAUAAUAAAAUAUGGCUCCUGCCGUAUUUUGUUGGUUUUGACUGGUGGGAGUAAUGAUUGAUAGGGACGGUUGGGGGUGCUAGUAUUGAGCGGCCAGAGGUGAAAUUCAUGGAUUCGCUCAAGACUAACUUAUGCGAAAGCAUUCACCAAGGACGUCCUCUUUAAUCAAGAACGAAAGUUGGGAGAUCGAAGACGAUCAGAUACCGUCGUAGUCUCAACCAUAAACUAUGUCGACUUGGGAUCGGCGGUAGUUUUUUCAUUAAGACACUGUCGGGACCACGGGAGAAAUCAAAGUGUCUGGACUCUGGGGGAAGUAUGGUCGCAAGGCUGAAACUUGAAGGAAUUGACGGAAGGGCACCACCAGGAGUGGAGCCUGCGGCUUAAUUUGACACAACACGGGGAAACUUACCAGGUCCAGAGAUGUAGAGGAUUGACAGAUUGAAGCUCUUUCUUGAUCACUUCGGUGGUGGUGCAUGGCCGUUCUUAGUUGGUGGAGUGAUUUGUCUGGUUAAUUCCGUUAACGAACGAGACCUCAGCCUGCUAGUGUAGUCGGCUGGAUUGCCUUUGGCGAUCCGUGAUUUCGACUUCUUAGAGGGACAAUCGACGCGCAGUCGAUGGAAGUUUGAGGCAAUAACAGGUCUGUGAUGCCCUUAGAUGUUCUGGGCCGCACGCGCGCUACACUGCUGGGCUCAGCGAGUUUUACUUGGCCGAGAGGCCCGGUUAAUCUUGUGAAAUCCCAGCGUGCUUGGGCUCGCCUCCUGCAACUGGAGGCGCCAACGAGGAAUUCCUAGCAGACGCAGGUCAUCAACCUGCAUCGAUUACGUCCCUGCCCUUUGUACACACCGCCCGUCGUUCCAUAAGAGUGAGGCAUCCGGUGAAUUCUCGGGAGAGCCUGGGCGUGGCCAGCAAUGGUCUGCUCGGGUUUGAACUUGCAUAAACUUGGUGCCUAUGAUUAGGG